rnacentral:misc_RNA from 1 species
UCGAGCCCCUGUCAACAUCAGAUUUUCUCCUGUGAUAUUUACAAUGCAUAAAAGACGCUGAGCCUGGUUGUCUUCACAACUCUUGGUGUUUACACGGACUCAAAGGACGCCGACAGCGGGUAUUACCUUUAACGUGAGUAAGUACUGGUCGCGAUUGUGUUGGUUUAUAUACUUACACAGCUGAUCCUCCAUAAAUCUGACACCCCUCUCACCUGUCAACUCACACAGUCCAAGUGGAGUGUUGGGAACAGAACACUCGCCCACAGCAGAACAGAGCAUAGCAGACCAGAACCUUCUCCAUCAACGCAACUACCGAAACGCAGAUAAUACACACCAAGGCACAUGUCGUCCGGCGGAAACAGUUCUAGCCUGGCCGAGAAGCCACUUCCGGUUCCGGUUGUUUCACAGCAGAAGCAGUCAUGGGUGAAAAGAAUAAAGCUGAAAAUGGCUAGUCCUGUGUACAGAGAAAAGUUCUACUACACUUUGGGCUUGUAUCUCUCGUCUUUCUUCUCUGGAUGGAUAGUUGGACUGAAGGGACCAGCGUUCCUCGACCUUCAGCAGAUCACUGGAGUUGGCACAAGCAAGGGUGCAGCCUUCUUCACAGCUGCAGCCGUCGGAGGUGUAGUUGGAAGUUUGGUCGGUGGCGCUCUCUACGACAGAUUCAACCGUCACGUGGUUCUGUUUGUGUCAUCCUUCCUGUAUGCUGUGACGUGUGCAAUCAUCCCCUGGUGUUCUGUGUACUGGACAAUGGUCAUGAUGUUCCUGUUACACGAACUGGUUACAGGAGCUGCCAGGUCAGGUACAAACGUGGAGAUCGUGGAGGAGUGGGGCGACGAGGGCAAACCCUUCAUGCAGGCUCUGCAUUUUUCCUUCUCUCUCGGGGCAACCGUUGCCCCCUUCGUCCUUGAACCAUUCCUCUCCCCAGAACCUGUGACAGAUACAGCUAACGCUUCUUUCACAACAACAAAUGACCCCUCCUUCACGACAACAACUUCCAGCAUGACGACUAUGGCACCCCCUAGGCCAGAGAGUAAUAUCCAUUAUGGCUUCCUCAUUGCUGCUGUUCUCUCAGGGUUGUCAUCCUUCGUGUUCCUCAUCAAAAACUUCCACGAAAAGAACAAGGGUACAGGUAACAUUCGACGGAAGGACACACAAAAGGACACCAAGGACCAGGAAGAGGAAGAAGGUCCCGUGAGGAAGAAGAGAACCCUCCCUCGACAUCUUCUCAUCAUCACCCUGGCACUCUUUGCUCUCUUCUACUUCUUCUUGGAUGAAGUAGAGGACACCUCUCCUUCUUUCUUGGCUGUGUUUGUCGUGAAGCAGAUGAAUUGGACAAAGAAAUAUGGUGGACGCCUGUCUUCCGCCUUCUGGGCCUCCUACACAGCAGGGAGAGGGGUUGGCAUCAUCCUCAUCAGUUUCGUCACACACACCCAGUUCUUCACCAUCUGUUGUGUGGUCCUCUGCACGUCCCAGCUCGGUCUCCUUCUGUCAGCCACCUAUGGAUUUGGUACAGGAAUCUGGAUCAGCAUUGUUGGUAUUGGGCUGGCGAUCUCAGUGGUGUUCCCUGCAAGUCUCACUUGGACAGAGAAGGAACUUGUCCAGCUCUCAGGGAAGCUGAUGGGAGUCAUCUAUGUUGCCUUGAGUCUUGGCGGACUUGCAAACCCUCAGAUCAUUGGGGUGACUAUGGAUCUAUAUUCACCAAUGUGGUACAGCUAUGUUUUAUUUGCGGAGAGCAUCUUGUUUUCAAUCACCUUCCUUAUUUUGGUGGCGUUUGUAAAGAAGGUACUCUCAAAACACAAACAGGAAACACCUAAGGUUGUUGAAGUUGUCAGGAUAUGAUUAAGAGGGGAGGCAACUAUGCAAGUGGUUUGAAAUCAUGUUUGUCACUUAUACCAGAACAUAAUCUUGCUGUAAUAGUCUAAAUAGUGAUUGUUUGUCAAUAGCAUAGUUACGAUUGAUUUCUACAGCAGGCUUUUCUGCGAAUCAACAGGGAUCUUAUUUUAAGGCAGCAAAAAUAUCAAGAAACCCGGUCUCACAUGCUUUCAUAAAUGUUGUCCCAUUGCUUAUUUUGUACAAUAUGUUUUUUUGAGUAAACAGUUGUCUUUC